rnacentral:rRNA from 1 species
AACAAACGCUGGCGGCGUGCCUAAUACAUGCAAGUCGAACGGGGAAAGCUUUCGGGUGAGUACUAGUGGCGCACGGGUGAGUAACGCGUGGAUAAUCUGCCUUAGAGUGGGGGAUAACUAGUCGAAAGAUUAGCUAAUACCGCAUAAGACCACAAGAACUGCGGUUCAAGGGGUCAAAGGUUUUUCGCUCUAAGAUGAGUCCGCGUAAGAUUAGCUAGUUGGUAGGGUAACGGCCUACCAAGGCGACGACCUUUAACUGGUCUGAGAGGAUGAUCAGGCACACGGGAACUGAGACACGGUCCAGACUCCUACGGGAGGCAGCAGUAGGGAAUAUUGCACAAUGGAGGAAACUCUGAUGUAGCGACGCCGCGUGAGUGAUGAAGGCCUUCGGGUCGUAAAGCUCUGUCGCAGGGGAAUAACACAAUGAAGGUACCCUGUAAGAAAGGAUCGGCUAACUUCGUGCCAGCCGCCGCCGUAACAC